AGGAGUAAUCAUACCAGCACUAAUGCACCGGAUCAUCCCAUCGAUACUCCAAAGUUCAACGUGCUAGGGCGAGAAUAGUACUAAGAUGGGCUUGUCACAAGACUUC
rnacentral:rRNA from 1 species